UAAGGAAUAUUGGUCAAUGGACGCAAGUCUGAACCAGCCAUGCCGCGUGAAGGAUGAAGGUCCUCUGGAUUGUAAACUUCUUUUAUCUGGGGCGAAACACCACUUUUCUAAGUGGCUUGACGGUACCAGAUGAAUAAGCACCGGCUAACUCCGUGCCAGCAGCCGCGGUAAUACGGAGGGUGCAAGCGUUAUCCGGAUUCACUGGGUUUAAAGGGUGCGUAGGCGGGCAGGUAAGUCCGUGGUGAAAUCUCAGAGCUUAACUCUGAAACUGCCAUGGAUACUAUUUGUCUUGAAUGUUGUGGAGGUGAGCGGAAUAUGUCAUGUAGCGGUGAAAUGCUUAGAUAUGACAUAGAACACCAAUUGCGAAGGCAGCUCACUACACAAAUAUUGACGCUGAGGC
rnacentral:rRNA from 1 species